UUUUACACUUUAUAGUCAGUUCCUCUGAGAUAAAACUGAUUUUUCCUUAAAUAUAAGUUCUUAAUUUCAGUAUGAGGUACUGAGAAGAGUAAGGUGCAAAUCCUUUCAUAACAAAAUGACUGAGCUGAGCAAAUAAAUAACUAAAACCCUUUUGCCAAAAUGUAAAAGUAAAUCAUAUCCAACGGUUAUAACACCUCGUUAUAACCCACAAUCUAAUGAGACAAGGAGAUGAACACAACAUGAGGGAGCGAUGGCUGAUAGUUCACUGAAGUCUCUUUUAAAUGAAAGGCACACGUCAAGACUACAAACCUUUCACGUCCUUAUGAACUACUACACCUGUCACUCAUCUCAGUGCUGUAAAGUACGGUGGCUGGGAAGUGUAAGACACUUUUACAAAAGGCAGAACACUUUUACAGGACGUCCCAAAAGAAAUUUACAAACGGCAGAACACUUUUACAAGUCCCAAAACAAAUUUACAAAUGACCGAUUCUGACAGAAGUGGAAUGUACCAAAUGCCAAACGUGACGGAAGGGGAAUGUCUGUCAUUUAGUACAUUCUCCUUCCGUCACGUUCGACAUUUGGUACAUCCCUCUUCCAUCAUGUUUGGCAUUUUGGUCAUUCCCCUUCUGUCAGAAUCUGUCAUUUGUAAAUUUGUUUCAGGACUCGUAAAAGUGUUCUGCCAUUUAUAAAUUUGUUUUGGGAUUUGUAAAAGUUGUUUUGCAUUUUGUAAUUUUGAUUUUCACUUCCCAGCCACAGUAGUGAAAUGUGCAGCUGCAGAAGCAAACAGUUGCAUUUUCACAAAGGAUAAUUUUUUUCAGCAAAACAAAACUGAAAUUCACAGCUUCAACAUCUUCAACAUCCAGCUACAACUUACAAAAAAAAAUUAUCCCUUUGUUGGAAUACAAUGUUUAAACAUGAACAAAUAACACAA